CUACGGGAGGCAGCAGUGGGGAAUAUUGGACAAUGGGCGAAAGCCUGAUCCAGCCAUGCCGCGUGGGUGAAGAAGGCCUUAGGGUUGUAAACCCCUUUCAGCGGGGAAGAUAAUGACGGUACCCGCAGAAGAAGUCCCGGCUAACUCCGUGCCAGCAGCCGCGGUAAUACGGAGGGGACUAGCGUUGUUCGGAAUUACUGGGCGUAAAGCGCACGUAGGCGGAUUUGUAAGUCAGGGGUGAAAUCCCGGGGCUCAACCCCGGAACUGCCUUUGAUACUGCGAAUCUCGAGUCCGGAAGAGGUGAGUGGAAUUCCUAGUGUAGAGGUGAAAUUCGUAGAUAUUAGGAAGAACACCAGUGGCGAAGGCGGCUCACUGGUCCGGUACUGACGCUGAGGUGCGAAAGCGUGGGGAGCAAACAGGAUUAGAUACCCUAGUAGUCCC
rnacentral:rRNA from 1 species